ACACCUUGCAAAUGAAGUUAGAAAAAUGCGUCUGCAUCCUAUAUCCAGAAUACUGAAAAUGGUGCAAACUGGAGAUGACAAUAUUCGCCCUAAGUAAUUUAAAAUCUUAAAAUACAGGAAGAGAAUUCUCGAAGGAUUCGAUAUUUUCAUGACACAAUUUCUACUCAUUUAUCGCAUAUCAAUCAUCUUCAAUUUCUUUUGCCCGAAGAACAGACUUUGGAUAUGAAUGCUUGUUAAAUUAAAAGUCAAAAGGCUAACUGCUUUGUCAAAGGCCGCUAAAUGGGUGGAGUCCCUAGUUCUAUUAGCAACACAUUAAAAUGCUGAGAAUACGAAGAUUUUCUUCACAGUUGCCAUUUUCAGUAACUGCAGAUUAUUUAUCUGGUGAAUAUUGAAAUCAAAAAGCAGUUGCUUCAUCUCCUGAUCCUGGACACCCUUAAAUAUACCCACUCAACCCUCCACCACUGAACUAAGCAGUAUAGACCCGAUUAGUUGUGGCCAAUUGCAAAUCCAAUCUCAGACCUGAAGGACAAAUCCCUAUUAAGGCUCAAGAUUAUCUUUGUUGUUCUGUGCGCAUUUAUAAAGUACAGACUAAAGGAAUUUCUAUAAAUUUCAAUGGAUGUCUUGCUUAGAUGAAACUUCAUAUAGCGGCAAUAGUAAACAACACCAAAAAACUAGCUACCUUCAUCAUUCUAAAGCAGCCACGGUAAAAUGAAGAUCGAGCAGUCGCAGCGACAUAAGCAGCAUUGAGAUGAAAAUAAAACGAGCUCUGUUAAGAUGCAACCCAAUCGGAGAACACUCAAAAAGAGGACGGAGCAACAUCACUAUUGAGGAAGCUUAACUCCAUACGAUUACUUAACCCACUUGGGAAGUGAGAAACUAUAUACGAGCUUCUAUAUUGUUCCUUUGACACUAUAGUUGCUAAACUGUAAGCAAGAAAUUUAUUACGUCAUCCCGUACAUCUGAAGCAACUCCAACAAAAGUAUGAAGGAAGGAAAGAUAGGAUUUUGUUUCCGAUCAGGGUAUGAAAGAUUUUUCUACUAAAUAGAUGUAGAAACUUUGUUGGAAAUCCAGGAUAUUGCAAGAAUUGCUCCAUAUUAAUGUCAAUUUUAAGAACUUGGGAUUUUUUUCAUAAAAUCGUCCUUUCUUCUGCGUCUAUUUUUUGAUACUGCAAAACAAACGGUAGAAACGUGGAAGAUUGCAUAUGUAUUGUAGGAAUCUAUCUGUAAACUUUUUAUUUUUUCUUGUAAAAAACUUUUUAAAUGGUUCGCCUAAAUUCCUCUCUUUAAGUAGAAGUUAUGUUUAAUGUCUAGUUG